AUAACCCUACGGGGGGCAGCAGGGGGGAAUAUUGCACAAUGGGCGAAAGCCUGAUGCAGCAACGCCGCGUGAAGGAAGAAGGGUUUCGGCUCGUAAACUUCUAUUAACAGGGAAGAAAGAAAUGACGGUACCUGAAUAAGAAGCCCCGGCUAACUACGUGCCAGCAGCCGCGGUAAUACGUAGGGGGCAAGGGUUAUCCGGAAUUCCUGGGUGUAAAGGGUGAGUAGGCGGCAUGGGAAGCCAGAUGUGACAGGCUUGGGCUUAACCCGAGGAUUGCAUUUGGA
rnacentral:rRNA from 1 species